GAGCAUUAAAAAUUCAAAACCCAAAUGCCCAGAUGCUCAAUGAGGAAUGAAUUUUUUUUGCUUCAGUCAAUCAUCAAUAGAAAUGAGAAAACAAGACUGAAGAGAAUUUCAUGAUUGUUUAUUUGCUUCAGCACACAAGUAAUACAAGAGUUACCUAAUACAUUACUAAUUGAAAAAAAAUUAAAAAAGUCUACAAAUAGGAUGGCCAAAAUCAAAACAGAUAAACUGAAA
rnacentral:lncRNA from 1 species